AAAAAAAAAAAAAAAAAAACUCAAAACCAACCUCAAUCAUACAUUCAUAUCCUCUUCCUACCCCCAUCUUGGAUGAGAUAAGAUUAACGAGGUGCUUACACGUGUCACCUCUAUUGUGGUGACUUAAAAAAAAUUCCAACCUUUCAUAUGUAGAUAUUAAGUAAUUGUAUAAUGUUAUCAAGAACCACAUAACAUAUCAAAAACCUUAUCAUUUCAUUAUAUAAAAGGAUAGUGGACAUCAAAAGGUUCAUAUUGAACCAAAAAAAGAGAGAAGAAGCAAUAUGGCUUCCUCUGUCAUUUCUUCAGCAGCUGUUGCCACACGCAGCAAUGUUACACAAGCUAGCAUGGUUGCACCUUUCACUGGUCUCAAAUCUUCAGCCACUUUCCCUGUUACAAAGAAGCAAAACCUUGACAUCACUUCCAUUGCUAGCAAUGGUGGAAGAGUUAGCUGCAUGCAGGUAACUCACUCAUCGGUUUUCCGAAAUUGAUAUUUUCUUAGUAUGUUGUAACAUGUAAUCUGUCUUAUUUCUCGAUUCAAUUAUCUAAGGGUUAUAUGUAUGUUAGCUACUCUCUCUGGCUUAAUUUAUGUGACGGUAGUACUAUUUUAUUUUAGUUAGUAUAAAAAAGAGUGAUUUACUUUGUUUCAGUUUGUUUGUUUAAUCUUAAUUUAACAUAACUUUUAAGAAAAUUAAAAAGUCUUUUGAAUUUGUAGUUUUAAAUUAAAGUUACGUAGAAUGUAUUAAAAUAUCCUACAUUUUGUGAUUUCAAACAUGUUAACUGUCACGUGAAAAAUUAGAAUUAGAUAAUUAUCAAAAAAAAAAAAAGAGACUUUAGAAGAGUAAUAUAAACAAAUUGAAACAUGAGUAUAUGUAGUUACUGACCUCUGAUCUAGUUUAUGCCAUUAUUAUUUUUCUUUUUAAGUCUGUUUUAAAAGAAUGACAUAUUUUUAUAUUUAAUAGCAGUAUUGAUUUAAGUUUGAAAAAAAUUUCUAUUUUAUCUUUAAUGAGAUGAUUUAUAAUUACAUAAGUAUUUAUAUUAUCUUAGACCAUAAACUACGAAAAUCUCUGUUUAUUCUUAAAAUUCCAUUUACCAUUAAGUACCUCCACAUAAGAAUUAAAAAAAGAGAGUAUCUUUCAAAUUAUCUGAUAAUUCAUAGAAGUUAAAAGAUCCAAUUGCUUAACUUAUCUUUGAUUAUAUUAAACACAUGAAAAGUGUAUCCUACGUAUAAUCUCUACGUUCAAAAUUAAAGACAAAUUUAAGAUCUAGAAUUGAUGAACUCAAAAUAUCUCUAUCUUAUUAUUAUUAUGUAUAUAUACAACUUAAUUUUUCGAAAUGUUGAUGAAUGUAUGUUAAAUCCUUUACAAUAGUGCAUUUUUAGAUAAUUCGAUAAGAGUGUAACAAUAUUUUCAGAAAGUCGAUAACUUUUUUUUCUUUUUUUUUUUUGGAUAUGUGUAUAGGUGUGGCCACCAAUUAACAUGAAGAAGUACGAGACACUCUCAUACCUUCCUGAUUUGUCUGACGAGCAAUUGCUUAGUGAAAUUGAGUACCUUUUGAAAAAUGGAUGGGUUCCUUGCUUGGAAUUUGAGACUGAGGUCAAUAUCAUAUUUACUUUUGUUUUAUCGAAAAAUGAUAUAUUUUUAUAUUUAGAUACGAUUUAUAUUUAACACUUCAAUGUUUUUUUUAUGUGUAGCACGGAUUUGUCUACCGUGAGAACAACAAGUCACCAGGAUA
rnacentral:lncRNA from 1 species